GAUUAUCGAAGGACAGCCUUAAUUCAUAAUC
rfam:Kordia algicida OT-1 1103813601120 genomic scaffold, whole genome shotgun sequence.